GCGCCAGUCACCUGCCUAAGAGAGGCGCGAGGACGGCAUGGGCAGACCUUCGCAAAACUCGAGUUCCUCCCGCCGCCUCAGACCCGCCAGCGCCAACAAUACGUAGGGCGUGAAGCCAUGCCAGGCUCUGGCCUAGGCCACCCGUGCUGGGCGGACCUGGCCCAGGACUCAGAACUGCCCGGGCGGUGCAGAAGUUGGCGGGUUGGAGCCUGGCUUCAGAACUAGUCGGCUGGUAAGGGGGGCUCGGAGCCCCUUGACCACUGACCCUGCUGUCCGUGGAGCACGGCCCUGAGCCAGGAAGCCAGGAGUGAUAACUACCGGUGCUCAGCUUGCCUUCUCCUUUUCAUUUAGUCCUGGACCCCAGGCCAUGGAACUGAUGCUGCCCACUGUUAAGAUCUGGAAAGACUUCUUUGUCUGCGUUGGUGUUAUAAUCGGGUGACACAGCAUGAAGACACAGUGUUGAGCAGAGUCUGCAGACCAUCAGUGGGUGAACUGGACAUCGGUUGACGUGACUCUCAGACUCUUUAGCACAGGGUGGCAAUUACACACCAAAGACUCAGGACCUGCAGUCCAAAUAAUCACUUGCCUACAGCACCAUGUGAGUUCAAUUCAAAAACUAUUCUCAUUUUGAAUGUGCUGGAUCUUCUCUACCC